GAUAAACGCUGGCGGCGUGCAUGAGACAUGCAAGUCGAACGAAGGAUCGGGCUUGCUCGAUCCUUAGUGGCGGACGGCUGAGUAACGCGUAGGUGACCUACCCCGAAGUGGGGAAUAACUGCCCGAAAGGGUGGCUAAUACCGCAUGUGGUCGCACGUUCAUUCGUGCGAGUAAAGCCGCAAGGCGCUUCGGGAGGGGCCUGCGUCCGAUUAGCUCGUUGGUGGGGUAAUGGCUUACCAAGGCGACGAUCGGUAGGUGGUCUGAGAGGACGAUCACCCAGACUGGGACUGAGACACGGCCCAGACUCCUACGGGAGGCAGCAGUCGGGAAUUUUGCUCAAUGGGGGAAACCCAGAAGCAGCAACGCCGCGUGAGGGAUGAAGGCCUUCGGGUUGUAAACCUCUUUUGUCAGGGACGAUGAUGACGGUACCUGGCGAAUAAGCCACGGCUAACUACGUG
rnacentral:rRNA from 1 species